UACUGUCAACAUGACUAUUCCAUUUAAGAUCAAAACAAUACAUACAAUAUACAAACAUACAUACAUAUUUUAAUACAAAGACAUACAAUAUUAUAAUAAACCCAAACUCCAUAAACCCACCAAGUCACCAUGUAUUAAUUAAUAGCCUAACUGCCAAUUCAUCAACGACUAUGAGGCAUAGUUCGUUUCUGAAUGGCGAGCCGAGUUUAUUCUUCAACAAGGCAACAAAUUCAGGAGACAAAGGCUCAAUUUAAGCUUCAUCAGCAGACGCAUAUGUACACAAAUAUCUGAAAAUUGGUUUCGUUGAUCCCACUAUAAGAACGGCCGAGUUAAUAUUUCCAAAACGGCGAUCAUCCUUAAUGCAAAGUCGUUGGACCGUAACUGUUCAUCAAUAUAAAUGCUAUGAAGAGGAACAAUUUAAAUACUAGAAUACUAGUUGGGCUUGAACAAACCCUUCGAAUAUCUUCAGCCAACAGGAAACUCUUUCCAAAUCCCGUAGGAAGGACAGCUAGAACAUCUCUACCUUCAAGUAGGCACUCUAUUGCAAGCGUUUGUUUCUGUAAGCUUGUUGUAAGACUUUCAACUACAUACGUAUCAAUUUUUGUUGCUUCCCG